AUGGGACCUCGGCUUGACGCUCUUCAAGAUUGUCGUUUUAUUUGGGAGCCUGCCCUUCGAUCACCACCAGGUGCCGAUGGGAAUCCCACUGAAAAGAAUAUUUCAAGUAUAUUAAUUUGUGUUCUGCUCCUGUUAAUUUCUCUUGUGAAAUUGCUAUCAGGUAUUUGUGGUUGCUUUUAUAAAGGAAGAUAUCAACCCAAGAUAUCAUGGUAUGAAUCAGCACAUGAAUCAAAAAGCAAGAAGUUGUUCCUUCCAUUUUCCUUUCCUCUUCUGGUACUACUCACACACCUUCUCCUCUUGUGA
rnacentral:rRNA from 1 species